UACGGAGGGUGCAAGCGUUAUCCGGAUUUACUGGGUUUAAAGGGUGUGUAGGCGGACUUUUAAGUCAGCGGUGAAAUCUCCGGGCUCAACCCGGAAACUGCCAUUGAUACUAUUGGUCUUGAAUGUUGUGGAGGUGGGCGGAACGGGUCAUGUAGCGGUGGAAAUGCAUAGAUAUGACCCGGAACACGAUUGCGAAGGCAGCCCGCUACGCAACGAUUGACGCUGAGGCA
rnacentral:rRNA from 1 species